rnacentral:lncRNA from 1 species
CUCGGGCCGGGCUCCGGGCGGUUCUCGAGCUGCAGUUCCAACGGGACUUCCGCGCUUCGGCGGCCUUUCUGACGAGCCGCCGCGCCCAGAGAUGUUCAGGUUGGAGCGACACUUCCCAGAGGGCAGCGGUCACUCCAGAUCUUCGGCUUCCAUUCCGUGUUCGCGCGGUUCUCCCUCUUUGCAGGCCAAGCAGCUGUGAGGAGAGAAGAGGAGGAAGCGCCAGGGAGCCCAGAGCCACCAGACAGUGACGCCACAGAGCCACAGCCAUCACACCCGCACAGACACACACCGUCCUCCGCCGUUCAGGCCCGAGAGUCCCGUGAGGACUGGUGUCCCUACUACUGGCCUCCACGCUGUGAGCGCUUCCACUGCCACCCCUCCUGGUUCACGUCGGGCUCCGAAGUGACUCGCUUCACAGGAUUCCCGCAUCCUGUGCUAACACAUCCACAAAUGAGCUCCACUCACCCUGCAAAGAGGGAGAACCGCGCGAAAACGGAAAUGGAAGCCGAAGAUCUGGAGUGACCGCUGCCCUCUGGGAAGUGUCGCUCCAACCUGAACAUCUCUGGGCGCGGCGGCUCGUCCAAAAGGCCGCGGAAGUCCCGUUGGAACUGCAGCUCGAGAACCGCCCGGAGCCCGGCCCGAGCGCAGGUCUCUCCUCCAGGAGCGCGACGCGAGGGCGCGUGCGCGGGCACGGAGCCUGCGCGGAGGCCGCUGGUGCGCCCAGGAGGCCGAGCAGGGGGGUCCGGCGCCGGCUCCGAGCGUCCGGCCUGUGCGCGCAGAGCCGCGGGGGAGGAUCGGCGGGGCGGCCCCGGGGCGAGAGCGCACGGCGGGUGUGAGCUCUGAGGGCGGGCCCCGGGCGAGUCCCCUCAGGCGGCUGCAGCCUGGGGACAGCAUAUGGGGCAAGCAACUCCUGAUCCCGCCGGGGAUGGGCUGGUUUAUUCAGUGUCUGUUAGCUGCGUU